AAGCUACUAAGAGCGAAUGGUGGAUGCCUUGACUGGUAAAGGCGAUGAAGGACGUACUAGACUGCGAUAAGCUACGGGGAGCUGUCAAGAAGCUUUGAUCCGUAGAUUUCCGAAUGGGGCAACCCAAUGUAUAGAGAUAUACAUUACCUAUAUAGGAGCGAACGAGGGGAAUUGAAACAUCUUAGUACCCUCAGGAAAAGAAAUCAAUAGAGAUUGCGUCAGUAGCGGCGAGCGAAAGCGCAAGAGGGCAAACCCAGUGCUUGCACUGGGGGUUGUAGGACUGCAAUGUGCAAGAGGUGAGUUUAGCAGAACAUUCUGGAAAGUAUAGCCAUAGAGGGUGAUAGUCCCGUAUGCGAAAAACAAACCUUAGCUAGCAGUAUCCUGAGUAGGGCGGGACACGAGAAAUCCUGUCUGAAGCUGGGUCGACCACGAUCCAACCCUAAAUACUAAUACCAGAUCGAUAGUGCACAAGUACCGUGAGGGAAAGGUGAAAAGAACUGAGGUGAUCAGAGUGAAAUAGAACCUGAAACCAUUUGCUUACAAUCAUUCAGAGCCCUAUGUAGCAAUACAGGGUGAUGGACUGCCUUUUGCAUAAUGAGCCUGCGAGUUGUGGUGUCUGGCAAGGUUAAGCAAACGCGAAGCCGUAGCGAAAGCGAGUCUGAAUAGGGCGCUUAGUCAGAUGCUGCAGACCCGAAACGAAGUGAUCUAUCCAUGAGCAAGUUGAAGCUAGUGUAAGAACUAGUGGAGGACUGAACCCAUAGGCGUUGAAAAGCCCCGGGAUGACUUGUGGAUAGGGGUGAAAGGCCAAUCAAACUUCGUGAUAGCUGGUUCUCUCCGAAAUAUAUUUAGGUAUAGCGUUGUGUCGUAAUAUAAGGGGGUAGAGCACUGAAUGGGCUAGGGCAUACACCAAUGUACCAAACCCUAUCAAACUCCGAAUACCUUAUAUGUAAUCACAGCAGUCAGGCGGCGAGUGAUAAAAUCCGUCGUCAAGAGGGAAACAACCCAGACUACCAGCUAAGGUCCCUAAAUCUUACUUAAGUGGAAAACGAUGUGAAGUUACUUAAACAACCAGGAGGUUGGCUUAGAAGCAGCCAUCCUUUAAAGAAAGCGUAAUAGCUCACUGGUCUAGUGAUUUUGCGCGGAAAAUAUAACGGGGCUAAAGUAAGUACCGAAGCUGUAGACUUGCGCACAACUUAGAUUAUUUAAGUUUAGAAUAUGAGAAACUAAGUUAUAUGUUUAGUUAUAUUUUUACUGAUUUUUAUAGAGUAAAGAUAGAAAUAAAACUUAGUAAAAUCAGUAAAAAUAUUCUUAGACUAAAGUUAAGUAGUUUAAGUUGUGUGCAAGUGGUAGGAGAGCGUUCUAUUUGCGUCGAAGGUAUACCGGUAAGGAGUGCUGGAGCGAAUAGAAGUGAGCAUGCAGGCAUGAGUAGCGAUAAUUAAUGUGAGAAUCAUUAACGCCGUAAACCCAAGGUUUCCUACGCGAUGCUCGUCAUCGUAGGGUUAGUCGGGUCCUAAGUCGAGUCCGAAAGGGGUAGACGAUGGCAAAUUGGUUAAUAUUCCAAUACCAACAUUAGUGUGCGAUGGAAGGACGCUUAGGGCUAAGGGGGCUAGCGGAUGGAAGUGCUAGUCUAAGGUCGUAGGAGGU
rnacentral:rRNA from 1 species